UAGAUACAUCCGUAUUUGGA
rnacentral:miRNA from 1 species